UAAAUUUUGGGGUCUAUAUUCCUGCUAUAAUUUGUGUUUUUUAUGCAUUUUGAGAGAGAUAGGUAGCAUGCUAUCUGUUUCAUUUACUUCAUUUUAGAAAUAAACUUAGCUAGAAAUGUGAAUCAAUUAGGAUUCGAAAUUGGAACUUUAAGUAUCAACCACCAACUUCUUUGCCACUUGUGUUAGGAACGGUCGGUGAGUGUUUUUUAUGCUAAAAUCUAUUCUUGCAAGUAAAAUAGAAUAAAUUAAGUUAUUACAUUGUAGUAUUUAAAUGCUCAAAUUUAAUAUUUUGACACCAAAAAGUCUAUUUUAAGGCGAGAAAAGACCUGUUACUGGCCUGCGCACUGUCUUUUUUUUAAAAAAAUUAUUUUCUUAGUUCUAGUCAGGUUUAAAUAUUGGAAAAUUUUCAAAUAUCUUUCUUUCUCAUUUUAGUAUCCUGUGGUUUAAAAUGUAUCACUUCCGUACCCUAUAAUUUUAUUUUUUUCUUUUUCUUAUCACUUUCACUAAUUUUUUUAUUAAAUCAGAGACAAAGUUAAAACUAAAAGAUACUAAAAUAAAUAUUCAAUAAACUAUAGGUGGGGUAUUUAAAGUUUUUUGUAUAUGAUUUAACGAAAAGUUAACGAAUGGGUUGAUGAAAAGAAAAAUAAUAAAAUCACAAGAUACUAAAUUGAUACAUUUUAAACUAUAAAUUACUAAAAUGAGAAAAUGCAAAACUACGAAAGUGAUAUUUGAAGUUUACCCUUAUAUUCAGGACGUGCAAACAGCAAAAAA
rnacentral:lncRNA from 1 species